AUUUUAUCUUUAGAUGGAUCCGUUUUUUAAAUUCAAAUAACUUCAGAAAGUGCAAAUUUUACCAAUUAGGUCGAUUUACAGCUUUUAAACUGGCAUUUUUAAACAUUUUUAGAAUUUGAAUUUGUUCUUCCAGUGUAAAGACAGAAAAUAAUGUUUAUUCUUCAUAAUGUUUUCUUAAAA